GGAGUUGGAUGUUGGAACGCCUUUGAUGAGUCUGCAGUUGCCAAGGAAGCUGCUGCUUAGCCUGCUGUAGCUGCUGCUGCAGAAGCUGUUGUUUGAGUUGCUGCUGCAUUUGAGGUUGCUGAUAUUGUUGCUUAAGCUGCUGUGUCUGUAGCAUCUGUUGUUCCUGUUGCUGUUUGAGAGGCUGACAUUGAAGCAUAUUGGAAUUAGACUGAUGUUUGUUGACAUUUGAUUGUAACAUGUAUACCCCACCCUGUUGCUGCAUGGUGCUCAUAUUCACCUGUUGUGGAGCAACAGGAUUCUGCUGCAUAGAUCCCAUACCAAUCACCUGCAUUGUACUCGAGGCAUUACCUGUUCCAGAGUCCAUAUUGGAAUUCGGCUGUAGGGAAUCAAUCAUGGUUUGCUGUGCAUUUGAAACCCCAGACAAAGACAUGGAAUAAUGAUUCAAAUUUCCCAUAUUGUUCUGCUGCAUUGAUGCUACAGAACCUUGUAAAUUCAUUGAUUCUAAUUGAGGGUUCAUUUGAUUUUCAUGUGACUGUACUUGAGUAGUUUGAGGUUGCAAUUGCUGCUGCUGCUGCUGCUGCUGCAUUGAGUGCACAUGAGGAGGGGCAAGUUGCCCUUGCUGCAUAGCUACUUUCCUGGGCCUACUUGUGUUGAUAAAGUUUAUAAUCUGUUUCUCAAAACUAACCAGCUUCUCCUUGAAAGAAGGCACUAUAUCAGCUUUGUUAACGUGCAAAAUAGCAAUUACGCGCUCCAACAUCAAUUUAAAAUUUUUCAAUUUGUCAAGCUGAUCUGACUUUGGCUGUAGCGGAAGAGACUCAUGCUGCAAUGUAUAAGAAUAAAAUAUGAUAAGAAAGAGAUCAAAAAGGAUGAUAGACCAUUUAAAGAUUUAAAAAUCAAUUAUUAGUCUGCCUUUCUUAAGAAAUGUUUACUCCAUGUAACAAAUUAGGAAAGAAUCAAAAUUAAGCAAUAACUUUCUCGGAAUGUUCCCAAUAGCAGACUUCAUUCACAUACCUGCUGUAACUUCAUAGAGAUUUUCUGGUACAUCUCAUUCAAUUCAGGUAAAUAUGUGUCCCUCAUGGAUUUCAUCUGCAACAAAAAUAAGUAGUGUAUUGAUCAAUCCAAACUCCUCCCAGGUCGUUUUCUUCUACCAAUCAAAUAACAUAUAUCUUCCAAUACUUUAUUGAGAUAAAUAACUGCAGACACUCACAUUACCAGCAGACAACUUACAGUAAGUUCCACUGAUAAUAUUUCUCCAAGGCUAAUUAUCAUAUGAUCUAUACAUUUUUAGCUACAAUCAUCUUCCAAGAGCAAAGAAACAUGAAAUAAGGAACAGGAAGAAGAAUGAAAGAGAGGACAAAAUGACUUAGCAUUUUCGAAUUACUGGAAACAGAUAAUCACAUGUUAGUACUCACAAUAAAUAUCUAAAUAAAGUUCAACUCUUAUAUCAGACUAGACAGCAUCAGUGUCAUUUAUGCAUAAGCCAAAUAUGAAGAAUAAUAAAGAUUAGCAACUUGCAUAAAGCUACUGUUUCAUCAGAAUGCCAACCACCACCUGGAUAACAUUAAAAAAAGCAACUAAAACAGGAAAAGGAGAUUGACUGACACGGACAAAAUUAUGGCAAUUUCUUUUCUACAUUAAGACAUCAAUGGCUUUAUCUUUUAUUACUCCUUAAUAAAGGAAAAACAGCAAUCUUAACGCAACACAGAAACAUUCUUAAGAAAACACGAUUCAGUAGUUAAAUGACUUCUCUUUCCAUUUCACAAAACUACUCUUUUUCCCUCUUCAUAAUGUCGUGAGAAAAAGGGGAAUGCCGAUCAGAAACCACUCUGUGGCAACUUCUCAUGCUUAACUUACAGAUUAAUAGCAGCAUUAUCGAUACCUGAUCCUCACAACAUAUAAGCUUGGCUAGACAUUGCAGUUUUUAAUAACAAGAAUUGUUAGAUAAAUGUUAAUGCGACUGGCCUGGAGUCACUACGUAAAUAGAAAUUCACCUUUGGUGGAGGGAUUCCUAGGUUUACAAACCAUAAGCACCUGUCCAUACUACACUACGUAAAGAAUUGGCUAACGAAAUUCCACUCAAGGGCUUUCAAAUUUCUCUGAUUUAAAUUCCUGUCACCAAAAUGUAUGAUGUUAUACAAAUUCUAGCAAGGGAAUUGGCUCCUGUUCAGCAGUUCUUAUUGUCAUACUAGUUAGUGCACGAGGCCACAUUACUAUCCCCAAAUUAUAGUUCAUUAUGCAACUUCCCCACAUUCUGAUACUUUGGACAAAAGAUUAUGCUGUCGACAUUCUAUUGCCAAAUACCCAUUUCUGUCUCACAGCUAUAUUUGCUAUCGAGUCAAUAUUCAAACCAAUAUCUCAUGUGAAUGAAUUCCUUUCCCUGGCUAGACCUCAUAAAACUACUAAUACUCUUAUCUGUGCCUUUGUACAUUUGUAUCCUACUAAAUCAUAUAUGUAAAGUCUAGCAAGAAAGGUCAGUCAUCAACAAACUAUUAAAACCUGUAGAAAAAUAUGAGAAGUAUCACACAUAAUACAUGCAUUCCAUAAAAUUUAAUGAAUAAAACUAAACAGUGGUACAAAACCUUUUGGUAAGCCUCCUCUUGCCAGUCACCCCCAGCCGAAUGCCCCGUUUGGGCAGAGCUAUCAGUAGACACUACAAAAGUAGAAGAAUAACUCUUCAUGGACUGUGUUGACUGUGGAACUGAAGACUGUUGAUUUUGUUGGACACCAGCUAGAGGAGCUGGUUGCAUUGAUGGCGGCUGCAUGACAGAAGAUGUUUGGAGGACAGACUGCUGAGAAGCCUGCAGCUGAGUCGGCUGUAGCAUAUUCUGUUGCUGCUGUUGCUGCUGCUGUUGUUGGAAUUGAGAUGACAUGAGCGAAUGUGGGACUGGCUGAAGCUUCUGCUUCAAAAGCUGCUGUUGGUAUUGCUGCUGCUGGUAAAUAUACUGCUGUGAAUUCUGAGACUGUUCUUGUUGCUGUAGGGAAACCAUCUGUUGCCUAGCUUGAAGUUGCUGAGAAUUUACGAACAUGUUGCUAUUGACACCUUGGCCCAUUGAGUUCCCCAGUGAGUUCUGAGAAACACUAGGCAUAUUUUGCAUGUUGUUGUUUUGUCCAAUAGUAUUCGGGAUGGAAGAUUGGUUCAAGCCAGAGACAGAUGGCAAUGUAGACGAUAGACUGGCUGAAGCCUGAACUCCAGAUGGAACAUUAUUCUGAAUAUUCUGAACCAAUAACUGUUGACGUGCUUGAGGCUGAUUCACAGCUAAGGAAUUAGGAAUUGAUUGACUUUGAUUUUGAAUUUGUGACUGCAUAACUUGAGAUGACAUACAAUAUAUACAAGUCAUGUUAGUCAAUCAAGAAACCAACCAAUUCAGUACAGCGGCAUUAACUACAAAUAGCACGAAGAGACAAUGAAUGAGAGAUAAAUGCACCACAAGUACGACCUUAGACCAUUAUGUAUUCCAACUUGAAAUUUUCUGAGCAAGUGAUACUGGAUGGAUAAUGGACAUGCAAACACAGACAAACAAUGACCACUCAUUUUCUUUUCAACAAAUACUAAAUAAAAGUCUUUGUGAAAUUUAUGUACUUGAAUUGAUCUUGAAAUUUACAAAAAUAAAUAAAUAAAGGACAAAGGUAAUCAUCUUUUCAAGCACACAUCUUCUGAUGCCAUAGGAGACUCACUUUAACAAAGAAGAAAGAUAAAAUUUGAGGCCAAAAAAGUGGGAGGAAGUUACAAAAGAUGCAAGCAGUUGUCCCUCUCUAGUAAAACUUAAGUCUUGCUGCCACUCUUUGAAAAACUUGCUCUUCACAAAUGCAAAUCUAAUUCUACUGACAAAACAAACUGAUUUUUAGUUCUUUAAUCAAUAUAUUACAAAUUUAAAAGGGAUAUUCAAAUGUGCCACUGCCCAUGGUAUAAACGUGCAUUUGAGGUUACAAAUGAGCAAGAUUGGAAAAAAUUUAUUAAAUUCAGGUUACUACAAUGAAAAUCCACAAGCAGCAUGGCUUGUAGUGAGUAUACAUGUGUACUGUGUAAAGCCCAGUAAAAGCAACAACAGGGCAAGUCCUAAAAUGUGUUAUGCUAAUGCACUUAAGUCCUAAAUUUUCAUUUUGUGCAUUUAAGCAUAAAACUUGUAAAUGUCGAUGCCCUUUAGUCAUUCCAUUAACUCCGUCAAUUUUAAGUCGGAUGGAAGAUUUCACAUGGCUUUCUUUUACGGUUUUCUUAAGCCAAAGUGGCUGUUGAUAUUAUAAAAAAAAAGGACACCUAGAUUUUCUGCCCACUAAAACCUAAUGCAGACAACAGAGCUAACAGAAGACCUAAAGUAAAUGACUAUCACAAGUCUUAGGACUUAAGUGCACAAAAUAAAAGUUUUAGGACUCAAAUGCCUCUAUCAUAACAAGUUUCAAGACUCCUGUUGUAAUGUCCCCCAAAAACUAUGUAUACGAAAAAAUAGUACAAUUACAUAAAUGAAUAAACACUAUAUGAGGGGAUAACAAAAUGAAAAUUCUAAUUCCUACAUUAAUGAUACCAAAUAACAGGAACUUAAGUCGUACCCGGGUCAUUACUGCUAUUCCCAGCAGGGUUAGAUGGCGAAGCAUUAGGUAUGGUAUUCUGAGACUUUGUCUCCAUUGUCAGCAUCUUCAAAGAUAUCUUCCUUAAAUAAUCGGACUAAAAGGGAAAGGAAGCAGAAAUCACUUCAUCACUUAAUCAAAUUGGAAAGAAAAUGAAGCAUAUAUAAAACCUUAGCACAAUAUUACAGCAAUGAGUAAACCUAAUUUCCCUGGGGCAAAGCUAAACGUAAAUAUUUAACAGUUCCGGUUACUAUAUGGAUGCAUGCAUGAAUGAUAAAAAUUCUCAACAAAUUAUGCAAACAAAAGAACGCUUCUCUUAAUUCUAAGCACAAGCCUAUCCAGUUUGUUUAUGCAUCCUCUAUCCACAUAGAAAUUUUGUACCAAUUAAUCACAAAAGGCAUGGACAUCAUAUAAUACCUGGCUUGUUGCAGCAGUGUAAAUUUUUUCCUCAAAUCGCACGGCAAUUUUCUUGAGUUCUUGCAAACCCUCUGGACCAGAAACAGGAAGGUGUCUCUUCAAGGUCUCCAUUCUGCAUAUCAAAAGAGAUUUGCACUUGAGACGAAAUUCUUCUUACCAAUAAUUUUUUCUUUCCUCGACGAUAAAUAAGAUUUCACUAAGAAGGUACCAAAGGGGUGGCACCCCUGACAGAAUGGCUUUAGGUAGAAGCCACCCAUAAACAAAUUCAUGGACAAAAGACUUUUUUUAACAUUUCCAACAAACUAGACAUAUGAAACCGGACUUUCCUGCUACCAAAAGUGAGGAGUGUACAACCAAUUAUCCCUAAAAAGAAUCCCACAAGUAUUCAAUUCCUUGAAAUGCCCUUUUGUUCCUCUCUCUCUCUCCAAAUGAGCCUAAAAAAAGGAGAAAUGGUGAUCACUCUCUUUCCGAGCCACAAACUGAAAGCCCCUCUCCAAGCCCAAAUUUCAUGUCGCAAUGUUCACUCCCAAUAUUGCAAAAACUGCAGCCCAGAAUCUUUCUGGUGCAGGUACAAUGUCAAAUUGAGUGAUUCACGCUCUCUUCUUCAGUCGUUGCACAAAAAACACCCAUUAGCCUGUACUUUCCCCUCCUCUGAGCAUUAUUUAAAGUAAGAAUACAUCCCCAAGCAUCUCAAGCAAAAAACGAAGCAUUCAAUGGGACCUUGACUUUCCAAAUAGAUGUACAUGGGAAAAGUGUACUCUGUCGUAAUAGCAUCUGAGUAGAAGGAGAUCAGAACAAUAGCAUUUGACAGAAAAAGUUCCCAGAGUCACAGCAAUUCCACGUAGCCCAUCGUCCUCAAAUCUAACCUCGCUUGAUAAGACAACCCAAAAAAAUUCAAGAAGCUUCAUGCUUCUAAUCUAGAGCACUACGCAAGAUAUUAAUCUCCCACGUCGUUUCUCCCAAAAAUCAUCCACCCUAGCUCUCUUGUUUCUUUCUAGUGCAUACCCAUCCAGGAAUAACUGUUUGAACGCAGUGCCUCCACAGCAUAUGUCAUCCCAUGACAUAGUACUCCUACUAUUCCCCAACUCAAAUAGAAAGUCUGCUUUUGAAAGCAUCCCAUCCUUGCUCAAUGUCGAAUCCAUGUGCUCCUCAACUAGAUUUAGUCAUCUAAUCUGUAUCUUUGAAACCAAGUACCCUCCUCCAGUUCUAGUUUUCUCCCCAUUAAAUCAACACAACCAUUUCCCAAGCAAAGCUUCAUAUACAAGAACCAACGACUUUACCCCAACCCCUCAUUAACACCUCAUUGCCCACAUACCUCUUCCAGUAACAGCUUAUACAGACCAAUAAAUCUGAGAUCAAUACAAGAUAAUACAACCUACAAGCAAUGAGACGCUUAAAAUUCCUCAGGUUCCGGAUACAUGAAUUUUUGUUACCAGCAUAACAGGAAAUCAUCCUGCAACUGAUUUCCUCCCAAACCUUACCUCUACACUUAAGAAAGAAUUACAUCCAAAAUACAAUAACAAGAGUGGCCCCCCCUACAUACCUGCCAAAUCCCACAUCGCAACCUAACCCAAACUAUCUAACCAAAUAGAAUUUACAGCGAAAGAUUCCUCAGAAUUCACGUUGGGCCUCGACCAAUUAACAGGACCAUAUUGCAAAACCAUUACUUCCUUUAACAUACUAAACCCUCGGAAAUCACUCCUAAGCAAGGAUCCCUCAUGAACUCCACACUUCUCCCUGCAAACCGAUGAGACAUUAAAAGACCCAAGCGAAGGAAGGAGGCACUCACAUCGUUUUGACGACCCUAUCCCGCGAUUCGAGCGGCAACUCAGCCCUCCAAUCGCCCCCGUCGAGCUCAGCUUCAGUGCCCCCGCCUCCCACACCGGCCGGCGGCGUCGGCCUCCAGUCAUUGUUAUCCAUCAUUAUCACUCCUCAACGAAACCCAACACUCGCAAGGGCCUUAUACAAGCAACAAAAACCCACAAUCAGCACACACCCACCCGAACGCAGAUUCAGGAACCCAAGAAAGAACCCUCCACCCACGUCCUCCCAAAAAGCCCUAGGAAACCCAAAAACAAGAGUCGAUGAAAAGCACGAAAGAUCACUCUUUGGCCGAAAUGCGAAGGGGGGGGGGAGAGCGAGGGAAGGGACGCAAGUCGAGAUGAUUGGGCGAGAGGAACCCAAAAAGCAAGGCUGGCUUGUCUGUUCUCUCUGGUUCCUUAUUUUCUUCGCCUGAGGGAAGGUGGAUUUGAUUUGGACCUCCUCGUCCGAAAACGGGUCGGACCGGGUCACGGGUAAUGGAUCGGGUUCUAGGUCGCCCUAGGCCAGACCAAUACUUUUUUGAAAAAUUGACUUCAUUUCCAACAUUUAUUCCAAAAUUUCUCCUUAACUAAUAGUCCUAAUUGUGAAUUUAAGCUCCAACAUCGAUUCUUUUUUAGCAUAAUGUGGUGGGGGUCUUUGGCUCUAGCUAAAGUUUCUCUAAAUGCUACUUAACUGAAGCCUGAAGCCGCUCAUGCUUCAAUUGAGCAAUUAAUCCACGGAUUCUACAUUAAUUAAGAAAAUAUGCUUCAAUUGAGCAAUUAACCCAUAGAUACUUUAGAAUGAUCACUUAAAAGUAGCGACAACUUUCAAACUUAGUGUCUAAUCUAGAAAUGACCAUAGUGAUCCUAAGAAUAUUAAAAUUAAGCCAAUAAUACUUGUUCUUCCUCAAGAUUAUGAAAAAAAAAAAUUGUUCCACUUUUCACUUAUGGCCCAAUUCACUUUACUCUUAAAAAGUAGCAAUUUUUCAUUGCCCAUGGAACCCACUUCUCUUUUUAAUUCUAGAAAAUAUAAUAAUCAUUCGAACAAUUGUUCAGCAAACCUUCUUAAUCUUAUCAAGAGAGAGAAAAUAAGUGUACACGUACAUGGCGUGCUUGAGAUCUUGUCGUUAUUUAAUUUUCUUUAAAUUGUUGUCAUAAGCCAAUAUCAAACCAUUAUCAAAAAUCAAUUAUGGCAGAAAUUCUCCAGUUCAGUCUCAUCACAAUGAAUAACCAUAGGAUUGAAUAAAGGACAUGUUUUUUUUACUUACAAGAGCCUUUUCUUAUAGCCUUCCAUUCUAAAUUUCAAAAUAUAAAAGAAUCUCUAUAAUGACCAUAAAAGUAACACAUUCAUAUAGUUGGAAAUGAAAGUCAAAUAUAAAACACUACAAAAGGAAACGAAGAACAGGCAUAAGCCAAUUUCUAAUCACCUAUUUAUUGAAUAAACAUUGAACCUACCUAACUUUCAAAACAUAAACAAUAAUAUUGUUAUAGAGGCAAAAAAUUAAAAAAGGACUCCUUGGCUGAUUUAAAAGCAUCCUCGAUACCUCUUCCCCUUGGAAAAGGCAAAUAAGAAGAGAGAGAGAGAGAAACUUUCAAAACAUAAACAAUAAUAUUGUUAUAGAGGCAAGGCGAAAAAUUAAAAAAGGACUCCUUGGCUGAUUUAAAAGCAUCGUCGAUACUUCUUCCCCUUGGAAAAAGGCAAAUAAGAGAGAGAGAGAGAGAGAGAGAGAGAGAGAGAGAGAGAGAGAGAGAGAGAGAGAGAGAGAGAGAGAAGAAGAAGAAGAAGAAGAAGAAGAAGAAGCCCUCAGGCUUCGCCAGCCCUCAAGCUUCGCUAGCCCCUUCUUUUCGAAUCAAGUAACAAAAUCUAUGGUGAUAAAGUCAUUACUAAUAGCUCGAAAACUUUCUUAUAAUCUUGCACCGCUUGCACUUGUCGACAAAAAGCAAACACAAACACUACAAUUAGGGUCUCCCGGUACUCACAGAAAAUCGGGUGCCUUGCGCAGCUCUCUCUUGUUUAUUUUGUUAUUCAUUUUUUUCCGAACUUUUACUUUAUACGUGAUUUAUUGAAUUUAUAUUUAUGGAGAUUACAUAAAAAUAUACACUCUUAUCCAUUUCAUAAUCCAUUUAUUCAUGCAUCCAUAAUUUGCACUUGCAUGGAUUAUCGUACAUUUAAAGCAAAGUCCAACUCUUUGACUGAGCUUUUCCCUACUCUUUUAAGCUCAAAAUUUGCGUGAUGUGAGUUGAGCAGCAGAUCCACCAUCUGCACCAUAUUUGACUCAAAAUAUUUUCAAAGAACAUAAAUCACUUGUUAAAGUGUGAGAGGGUUAUUUUGAUCAUUAAUACUGAGAAGGUUAUUAUGGUCAUUAAGUGUUAUUUAAUUAAUAUUAAAGUGUGAGGAGUGGCAAACACUAAUCAAUGUGUAUGCUCUCUUCUUUUGUUCUAUAUCAAUUUCUACAUGGUAUCAAAGCCAUAGUAAAGAUAAAAAUAAAAAAUCUAGUCAUUGCAAAUUUAGAUCUAACAUUGGCAAGUGUCGUCCAACCUAAUUUGGAACCGCCCAGCCUUGUUGAGUCUAGAUUUGACAGUGGGGAGCAUUGUUGGCUUAGAUCCAGCGUUGCCUAAUCUCGUCUAGCCCAAAUCCGGUGUCAUCUAGCAUCGCAUGUUCUCGUUCAUCCUAGAUGUAACAUCGAAAACCAAGAUCUUAUGCCGAUCGAGCACGUCCAUCCCUUCGAGUUGAUUUAAACUCUGUGGUUGCUAAUCUAAGUUCUUUGGUCCUCUAGGAUUCGUUUGCAUAAUUGUUGUUCUCUAUGUUCUUUAAAAGAAGAAGAAGAAGUAGCAACAACUUGCUUGAUGGGGUUGCUUGCCCUGUUCACCUCGAAAUUGAUGUUGGAUAAGGAGGUUUUUGUUUGGGCAUAAUUUGUAGUUUUAUUGUAUGUUUUCAUGAAACAUAUGAAUUUGAUUGAAGUGUGGUAGAGCUUUGAACUAUUUGAAACAAAUCAUGAUAGUUUGUUGAAUUGAAUUAUGGUUGGUGGAAUAUGAGUUUGAUUAUUGUGUUGAAAAUUAUUGUGUUAUAUUUGUACACAUUGGGUGGUUAUGGUAGAGAAUAAAGGUGCAGUGGCUGAAAUUAUGUCUACAUCCUCUAGUUGACAAAGAAGAAUUUAGAAUUUCAACAAUGGAGGAAAAUCGUGUUGUUAGUAUUGAUUGGGAGAGAGCAACAAAAUCAUCUAACAAGUAAUAGGUCUACCUCUUAUACAAACUAUGAAUGCCAAAAUUCUUGAUCAAAUGUUGAACUCCAUGGAAUCCCAAGUUGCAAAUUUGGUUACAAAUUUAUGCAAUGAAGGAGCUGUGGAACUACUUGAAUUUUCUUUAUUCUAGGCAAAAUAAUCUUUAAGGAUUUAUAAAGUAUCCCAUGAAUUGUGUGGGGUUAAUAGAAAGGGCCGGCCACUAACCUAGUAUUUUGCUUAUUUUAAACGUAUAUAUGAGGAGCUUAAUUCUCUGCCAUCCAUUACCUCUAAUGCAAGAACAACGAGAGCAAUUGGCUAUUAUGGGUCUUUGGGAGGACUAGGACCAAAAUAUGAUGUAGUCCAUUCCCAAAUAGUUGGACACUCAUUGAGACGUUUGCUGGACCUCAUGUAAACCACAUAAGAGUGCAUUCUUCAUAGGUGAUAGCUCGUUGACAGGCCAAGGAAAUUAUAGUAGUGGUCGAGGUCAUAGUGGUGGCCAAGGUUUUGGUAGAGGCCAACCACCCUCAUAUAGUAAUACUUAUAGUGGCACAUAAGGUAAUAUCGAAUUUAUCUGGACUUGUCAUUACUAUGGUUUACGUUAACACAUUCAAAGAUUCUGUUAUAAGCUUCACAGAAGGCUGCCUCAACUAGAUGCAGCUAAUGUAGCCGAUGCAAUAGAAUCUAGUACCUCUAUCAGCCCUCUAAAGCAGGAAGGUUAUUAGAAUGACGAAGAAGGAAUUUGCUAGGUACAAUUAUUUCUAGAUUUCUAAGCUAGUUUCAUGGUCCUCCUCCAUUGGUCCAGAUAGGUAAUACAACAACAUGCCUUUCUUCUGCCUCUUGCCUCUGAGUUAUUGAUUCAGGUUCUACCAAUCAUAUGACUGGAGUUUCAAGUAUCUUUUCUAACUUUCACGAGGCUAUGUCCAAUAUGAUAUUAGCUAGUGAUUUAUUAUUCAUAAUAAAUUGGAUAGACACAAUUCUCCUAACAUCCUCCAUAUAUUUAUCUUUAGUCAUGUAUCUCCCAAAUUUUCCAUUUAAUUUUAUGUAUGUCAAUCAUCCUACCAAAACAUACAAUUGUUCAAUAACUUUACAUCUUGAUUCUUGUGUUUUUCAGGACUUGAAGACGAGGAAGAUGAUUACUAAAGGACAGGGGGCUAUACUUAUUUGAUGAUAAUACCGAUGUUGCUUGUUUUGCGGCUUCCCCACAUCAAAUCCAUUGUUGUUUGGCCCACCUCUCAUUGGAAAGUUUAGAGAAGUUAGAUCCUAGUUUCAUUCUUUAUCCAGUCUUGAGUGUGAAUCAUGUCGGUUUGGCAAAUUGCAUCUUAUCAGUUAUUGUCCAAGAGUCAAUAAAUAGACUUCCCAAUCGUCUGUGUUAGUUCAUUUUGAUAUAUGGGGUUUAUGUUCUAUGUUGACACCUAAAUUUUUGCAUAAAUUACCCAAAAAGAGAAAAAUAAAUAAGAAAUAAAAUAAAAUUACAUAGCAAGGAAUUUUAGGCGCAUCUUACUCUGAUAAGGAAUAAAGAUUUGAUAUAUUCAAAUUAUAUACACCAAGGGGUAUAUUUCGCAGAAAAUUAGAAGAUUUCGAUGGAAUAUUUUAGACGCAAUACAUAUUUGGCGUUAAUCUUCGGGUAAUAUGCAUUUUUGACAUAAUAAAAGAAAUAUCAGAUCUUUCAAUCGUCGAUGGGCGUGAACAAAGGAAAGAAAAUGAAAUAAAAUAUUCCACCGUGACCUCUCGAAAUCUAAUCGAAAAGAAAAUUUUAUUUCUUUCAUACGUGGACUCAAUUUCGUUGCAUAUAAAAAGGGGGCUUUUCUCAGUUUCUAGGUUAAAAAAAUUCAAUACGAAAAAAAGAAUUUUUUCUUUCUUGAGGCUUUUCCUGAGGACUUUUCCUUCGGUUUCUCUUGAGUAGAAAAGUCAACAAAAGAGAAAAAAGGAAAAGAGGGCAGAGAGAAGAGACGUGACAAGCCAGCAGAAAAAAAGAAAAGGAAAAAAGAAGAAAAGCAGAGGACUGUUCGUCUUCUUCGCUGCCCUCGCCGACCCCCUGCGCCGCCUCGCCUGCUGCGCCAGCCACCGCCGCAACGACCUGCAGCAACCCACGGAGCCGCCGCCGUCCCGUCUGCUGCCGGAUCCCUCCAUCGCCCGCGAGCCGGCGUCGCUGCUGCUGUCCAGAGGCCGCGACGCUGCUGCAGCCAUCGUCUCCGCCCGCGCCUGCACCUCCGCCCCGGCGUCCCUUGCUGCCCGAGCUACCGGCCACCAUCUAGCCAGCGCCUCCUCCGCCCGCCUCGCCUGCUGCGCCUCCGCCGCUCGAUCCUCCGCGACGCCACCGCUACCUCUGCAGCCGCGAGCACCCGCAGCAACCUUCGACUCCGCCCGACAACAUGCUUCUCUGCCACAGCCCGUCGUCGACGCCGUAGCAGCUCCCCUCAUCCGCGAGCUCGCACCGCCCAGCAGCCAGCAGCCCGCGACCCCGCGCCCGACUCCGCUGCCAACGCCAGCGUCCGAGCUCCGCCCGCGACCCAGCAGUCCGACGACCUUGCCUCAGACUGCCCUGCGCUCGCCGCGCCUCACCCGCGCCUGCACCAGCUCCCGACGCCCUCUCCGCCUGCUGCCCAAGCGCCGCUCUUCUUUGGUCGUCAGCUGUCGACGCCUCCUUUGCCGUUCAUCGCCGCUGGUCGCAGCGCGAGCGCCACCCAGCAGCCCGCGCCCGACUCCUCCGCCGCCCCACCGUCCCCGACCCCGGGCGAAUCGUCGGUCGCAAAUCCCGCGCACCGGCCCCUUUUCUUUUUCUUUUUCUUUUUAAAUAAAAAUCAGUCAAGGUAGUUUAUUUUAUUAUUUUUUAUCUUUUAUUUUUUGUCAGGUUUAGUUGUUAUUGCUCAAAUUGAAACAUUGGAUGUGGACGUUCAUUUUAUAAAUAUUUUAGGCAUUAUCCGUAGGAUUUUGCCCAAAAUUAUUGUAAUUAUUAAUGUGAUCCGUAGGACAUCGAAGCUUAUUUUUUUUAAUUAUAUUGAUUUUGGGGCAUUUCGAUAGUAUUUUAAUUCUUGAAUCAUUAUAAUUAUUAAUUUAAUUCGUAAGAUUUCGAAUUAAAUUUUUAAUUAUUUUAAAUAUUUGUAUAUGUUGUGAUGUUUAUGGUUAAAAUAAUCGUUAAUUUAAUUUAUGAGAUAAUGGAUUAUUUUUUCGAUUAUUUUAAUCAUUCAUUUGAUGAAUAUCUUGAUUAGUUUAGAUAUAAUGUUUAUCUGAUAAUUGCUUCUCUUGAAAAACACUAAAUCCUUUUUUAAAAAGAUAAUCAAAUCUUGCAUCGAAAUAUGUUGGUUUCAUAAAUUAGGAUUACACAUAGAUUAAAGUUAUAUUUAAAUAAUUUUUUUUAUAAAUAGGGUCUUAGAUAAUGUUUGUACAUUUUAAUAAUCUCUUUUCUAAAAAAAAAUGGUUUUUAAAGAUAGGAUAGGGUUUAAGUCAAAUUAAUUCCUAAACUAAAUUAGAUAACCAUUCAUUUUGUAUAGUUUAAUUAGGGUUUUUAUUAAUUCAGAUUUUUAAUGAAAAAUAUAUAUAAAUAUUAUGUGCAUGUCAAUUAAUUUGCACGUUCAUUUAAUUAGAAAUAGCUUGUUAGUAAAAUUAGGUCACGUAGUUAAAGUGUAUGUUUUAUGGCAAAGUUAUAAUUUCAAGAUAAAAGAAAACCCAAAAAAAUUGCUUACUUUGUGCGUUUAAAAUUUUUUAUGCAAUUUAUUUGAUUUGUUGAGUGUUUAAUAAUGAUUGAGCAUCUGUAUGAUCUUCCAAUCGCAUUAUAGUAUUUGAGGUUAAAAUAAAUCCAAACUGCCUGCAAAGAGCAAAGAAAAGUCUAGUAUAACCAAGUCAUCGUAUCCAAAGUUUUUGGUUCAUAAGAGUAUGAUAAUUUUCUCAUUAUUUUAUUUAGGUGACUAAUCGACCUAUCAUGAACUGAUUAGUAGCAACUCCUAGUUAAAAUUCAUUUACAUGAUAAAAAAUUUGAAAUUAAGUCGCGAAUUGAUAUGGACUUAGGAAAGUCCGAUCUAAGUCUAGGCUUAGCAAUCCAUUAGCCAAACCCCUAGGUGAUCCAGCCUGCUUCCGGGAGGUUGCAACAUUAUAUUUUUUCGAAGUUGGGUUUAAAGUACUUUGUUACAAAAUACAUACUCAAUUUUCAAUUCAUGUUUGUAUUCUUCGAAGUGAUAAUGCCAAAUAUAUGUCUAAUCUUUUUUUUUUGGUAUUUUAAUCUUUAAAAAAAAAAAUUCAUGACCCAAUGGGCAUCCAUCAUCAAUCUUCCUAUUCGAAGUUAAUCGAUCAUUGAUGUUUGAAAUGAAGGCAGACAAAUCCUUUUAGGUUGACACUAUGAUGAUUGCAUGUUAUCUUAUCAACUACACACCAUCUCUAUUCUUAAGGCUGCAACUGCACACUCUUCUUUUUUCUUCUAAAUCCUCUUUUCAUCUACCACUUCGUAUAUUUGGUUAUGUUUGCCAUAUUUGUGACAAUUAUCCAAGGCUUUCCAAACUAGGCCCUCAGUCUCUUAAAUGCAUUUUUGUGGGAUAUUAUCGUAUGCAUAAAGGUUACCACUGUUAUUGUUCUUCUUUGCAUAUGUUUCCUUCUUAGAGUCUAAUAUUUAUUCUGAUGAAUGAAUGGAACCUUCUAUAGUGGAUGAUGAUUUCUUUACAUAUGUUAUUGUGAAAUCCACUUUGGAUUCUGCACCAAUUCCUCUACUAGUCCAACAUGUAUAUGCUAAUCGUCCUCAUUAGCAUAUGAGUCAUUUGCAGAUGUACCUUUGCCUAUUUUGUCUCCUUCAUCCUUUAAGCCUGAGAUAAGUUUGCUAUUGCACAUCGCAAAGGAGUUCGUAGUUGUACCCACCACCCUAUUACACAGUUUGUCUCCCGUUCUAGUAUGUUUACCUCUUUUCAAACUAGUCAAGUCACUUGUCUCCCGUUCUAGUAUGUUUACCUCUUUUCAAACUAGUCAAGUCACCAUUCAUAAUCCUAUUCCUAAAACUAUUGCGUAGUAGACCAAAAUCAAACUCGGGUUCUUAUUCCUUUACUUACAAGGAAGACUGUUAUUGGAUAUAAAAUGGUGUUUACUGUCAAGCUUAAUAUUUGUGGUUCCCUUGCUUGCCUUAAGGCUAGAUUUCUAAAGGUUAUGCACAAGUUUAUGAGGUCAAUUAUGGUGAUACUUUUCCUCCAAUGGCUAAGAUGACAUCUGUUCGCCUUUUGCUUUCUUUAGCUACUAUUACUUUUUGACCUAUUUUUUAGCUUGAUGUUAAAAAUGCCAAUCUUCAUGGUUAUUUACACGAAAAGGUGUAUAUGGAGAUGUCUACCAUUUGAAGACAUCUUUAUAUGGUUUCAAACGAUCUCUCAUAGCUUGGUUUGGAAGGUUUACUGAGGUGGUGCUCCUGUUUAAAUUUAGUGGAGAUCUUUUUAUGUUUUACAGUUUUUUCUGGAGUUAGUUGGAUAUUGCUUGUAGUUUUUGUAGGUGAUAUUAUCACAAGUGGAGAUGAUUUUACAAAGACUUGUAUUUGCAACAAUUGUUUCAGACAAAGAAUUUGGGACAACAUAGAUAUUUUUUGGGUAUCGAAGAGGCACAUACAAUGAAAAGUAUUCACAUAUCAUAUCACAAGUAUGUUUUAGAUUUGCUUAAAAAGAUAACAAUGUUAGGACUUAAACCGCUAGAUACACCAAUUAUGAGAUUGGUAGAGGACGACAAGUUUUAGAUGAUCCUGAAAGGUAUCGAAGACUUGUUGGAAAAUUAAAUUAUGAGAUUGCACUCAACCUAAUAUUUCCUUUCAUAUGAGUGUUUGAAGUCAGUUUGUGUUUCCCCCCAUAUCUCUCGUGGAGAUGAUGUAGUCAAAAUUUUAAAAUACUUGAAGAAAGCUCCAAGUCGUGGUAUUUUCUAUAGUGAUCAUAGUCACAAAAGGGUGGAAGCAUCUUUGGAUGUUGAUUGGACCGAGUCUCCUACAAAUAGGAGGUCUACAUCAAAUUAUUGCACCUUUGUAGGAGGAAACCUAGUGUCUUAGAAGAGUACAAAGCAAAGUAUUGUGACUAUAUCUAGUGCAUAAUCAGAAUAUAGAUUUACGGCCUAAGUUACUUGUGAGUUAGUCCACAUGCGUCAAUUAUUAGUUGAACUUGAAUUUAAAGAUUCUAUGCUAAUGGAAUUGUGGUGUGAUUAUUAGGCAAUUAUCCAUAUAUUGCUUCAAAUUCUGUAUUCCAUGAGUGUACUAAGCAUAUUGAAAUUGAUUGUCACUUUGUCCACGAGAAGCUUUAAGCUGGAGUUAUUUCUACUAUUCAUGUUAGGAUUAAUGAACAAAUAGUUGAUAUUUUCACUAAGUCUUUAGGCAUGAUAUUUUCACUAAGUCUUUAGGCAGUAGUAAAGUUGAGUAUAUUUGUAACAAGCUAAGCAUGCUUAAUAUUUCUACUACAGCCUGAGAGAGAGUGUUAAAUUAUAAGAGGAUUAUUAUAAUCAUCUAGGAUACACAUGAUAACAAUUCUGUUUCUUUGUUUUUCUAUCUUUCUAUUUCCGGAAACAAGUUUGGAAUAAAAAUUGUGUUUAUCCAUUUGAUAAUGUAAUUUCAUUUUUCUAUUUCUAAAAUAAAUUUUUACUCCAGAAAUAGGUUGGAAAAAAAUAAAAAGUGAAAACUUUAUAUAUUUUUAUUUAUUUUUAAAACAAAAUUGAGAAAUAAAAACUCUUCUCGAUUGCCGUAAGUUGUCUCGCCAAUUGCCUGCCACCACCCCACUCAUCAUUGCUCGCCUCCGGUCGUCAUUGCUCGCCUGCCUCUCAUCACCACUCAAGAAGAAGAAAUUUUGCAUUAUUAUUAAACAAAUUUCUAUUCUAAAAAUAUAAAUUAUAUAGUUGUAAAAUACAUACUUUUGCUCAGAAAUAAAAGGCAAAAUUUGGUAACAUUUCUAUUCCUCUAUUUUUAUAUUCUUUCGUUCCCCAGACAAAGUUCACUUCAAGCUCUUAUUUAAAAAAAUUAAUGGCAUUUCGGAUCCUUAUUUAAAGCAAUGUCCACUUCAAGCUAUUUUUAUAUUCUUUUGUUUUUAUAUCUUUCUAUUUCCGGAAACAAGUUUGGAAUAAAAAUUGUGUUUAUCCAUUUGAUAAUGUAAUUUCAUUUUUCUAUUUCUAAAAUAAAUUUUUACUCCAGAAAUAGGUUGGAAAAAAAUAAAAAGUGAAAACUUUAUAUAUUUUUAUUUAUUUUUAAAACAAAAUUGAGAAAUAAAAACUCUUCUCGAUUGCCGUAAGUUGUCUCGCCAGUUGCCUGCCACCACCCCCCUCAUCAUUGCUCGCCUCCGGUUGUCAUUGCUCGCCUGCCUCUCAUCACCACUCAAGAAGAAGAAAUUUUGCAUUAUUAUUAAACAAAUUUCUAUUCUAAAAAUAUAAAUUUUAUAGUUGUAAAAUACAUACUUUUGCUCAGAAAUAAAAGGCAAAAUUUGGUAACAUUUCUAUUCCUCUAUUUUUAUAUUCUUUUGUUCCCCAAACAAAAUCCGCUUGCAUUUCGGAUCCUUAUUUAAAGCAAUGUCCACUUUAAGCCCUUAGUUAAGAAAAUGAUGACACUUGGAGCCCUUAUCAAAAAAACUAUGUCUAAAUAGAAAUUGUUCCCGUUAACAUAAAUGUUAUCAAAUACCACCGAAAUGGCCAGAAAUAAAUUUCUAACAGAAUGUUAAUCAUUCGACCCUAAGUCUUAUUAAACUAAUAAUAAAAGUGCGAGUGGCAAACAUUAAUCAGUUUGUAUGCUCUCCUCUUUUGUCCUCUAUCAAUUUCUACACUAAGAAAGAAGAAAAACUUUAAUAUAGUAGAUGACAACUACUAAUAACAGCAGCACCCAAGCUGCAUUCCGGAGUUGGAUGUUGGAACGCCUUUGAUGAGUCUGGAGUUGCGAAGGAAGCUGCUGCUUAACCUGCUGUAGCUGCUGCUGCAGAAGCUGUUGUUUGAGUUGCUGCUGCAUUUGAGGUUGCUGAUAUUGUUGCUUAAGCUGCUGUGUCUGUAGCAUCUGUACUCACAAUAAAUAUCUAAAUAAAGCUCGACUCUUAUAUCCAACUAGACCGCAUCAGUGUCAUUUAUGCAUAAGCCAAGUAUGAAGAAUAAUAAAGAUUAGCAACUUGCACAAAGCUACAGUUUCAU
rnacentral:lncRNA from 1 species